rnacentral:rRNA from 1 species
UACGUAGGUGGCAAGCGUUUGUCCGGAAUUAUUGGGCGUAAAGCGCGCGCAGGCGGUCCUUUAAGUCUGAUGUGAAAGCCCACGGCUCAACCGUGGAGGGUCAUUGGAAACUGGGGGACUUGAGUGCAGAAGGAGGAAAGCGGAAUUCCACGUGUAGCGGUGAAAUGCGUAGAGAAUGUGGAGGAACACCAGUGGCGAAGGCGGCUUUCUGGUCUGUAACUUGACGCUGAGGCGCGAAAGCGUGGGGAGCAAACAGGA